CCUAGUAACGGCGAGUGAAGCGGGAAAAGCUCAAAUUUGAAAUCUGGCGGUCUACGGCCGUCCGAGUUGUAGUCUAGAGAGGUGUCUGCCGCGCCGGACCGUGUACAAGUCCCUUGGGAUAGGGCKUCAUAGAGGGUGAGAAUCCCGUCCAUGACACGGACAACCGGUGCUCUGUGAUGCGCCUUCAAAGAGUCGAGUUGUUUGGGAAUGCAGCUCAAAAUGGGUGGUAAAUCCCAUCUAAAGCUAAAUAUAGGCGAGAGACCGAUAGCGAACAAGUACCGUGAGGGAAAGAUGAAAAGCACUUUGGAAAGAGAGUUAAACAGUACGUGAAAUUGUUGAAAGGGAAACGCUUGGAGUCAGUCGCGUCCGCCGGGACUCAGCCGGGCUUUUGCUUGGUGCACUUCUCGGUGGAUGGGCCAGCAUCGAUUUCGGUUGCCGGACAAGGGCAAGGGGAAUGUGGCACCUUCGGGUGUGUUAUAGCCCCUCGUCGUAUACGGUGGCUGGGAUCGAGGUUUGCAGCACGCCUUAGCGGCCGGGGUUCGCCCACGCCACGUGCUUAGGAUG
rnacentral:rRNA from 1 species